GACGAACGCUGGCGGCGUGCCUAAUACAUGCAAGUAGGACGCAGUUGCGAACGGGUGAGUAACGCGUAGGUAACUACCUAUUAGAGGGGGAUAACCAUUGGAAACGAUAGCUAAUACCGCAUACUAGUAGAUGGACCUGCGUUGUAUUAGCUAGUAGGUAGGGUAAUGUCCUACCUAAGCAAAGAUACAUAGCCGACCUGGAAGGGUGGUCGGCCACACUGGGAAUGGGGAACGGCCCAUACUCCUACGGGAGGCAGCAGUAGGGAAUCUUCGGCAAUGGGGGGAACCCUGACCGAUCAACGCCGCGUGGGUGAAGAAGGUUUUCGGAUCGUAAAGCUAUGUUGUUAAGGGAGCGGUACUUAACCAGUAAGGGACGGCUAACUACGUGCCAGCAGCCGCGGUAAUAC
rnacentral:rRNA from 1 species